UACGGAGGAUGCGAGCGUUAUCCGGAUUUAUUGGGUUUAAAGGGUGCGUAGGCGGCUUAGUAAGUCAGCGGUGAAAUUUUGCAGCUUAACUGUAACAGUGCCGUUGAUACUGCCAGGCUAGGAUUUGGUUGCUGUGGGUGGAAUGUGUGGUGCAGCGGUGAAAUGCUUAGAUAUCACACAGAAUAUCGAUUGCGAAGGCAGCUCACAAAGCCAAGAUUGACGCUGAGGCACGAAAGUGUGGGGAUCGAA
rnacentral:rRNA from 1 species